AACUUAGUGGCUUAGCGGUUAGCGCGUUCGCCUCACACCUCCAGCGGGAACCUCGGGGGUUCGAUUCCCACCGUGGCCC